UAGGGAAUCUUCGGCAAUGGACGGAAGUCUGACCGAGCAACGCCGCGUGAGUGAAGAAGGUUUUCGGAUCGUAAAGCUCUGUUGUUAGAGAAGAACGUUGGUAGGAGUGGAAAAUCUACCAAGUGACGGUAACUAACCAGAAAGGGACGGCUAACUACGUGCCAGCAGCCGCGGUAAUACGUAGGUCCCGAGCGUGGUCCGGAUUUAUUGGGCGUAAAGCGAGCGCAGGCGGUUCUUUAAGUCUGAAGUUAAAGGCAGUGGCUUAACCAUUGUACGCUUUGGAAACUGUAGGACUUGAGUGCAGAAGGGGAGAGUGGAAUUCCAUGUGUAGCGGUGAAAUGCGUAGAUAUAUGGAGGAACACCGGUGGCGAAAGCGGCUCACUGGUCUGUAACUGACGCUGAGGCUCGAAAGCGUGGGGAGCAAACAGG
rnacentral:rRNA from 1 species